AGAUUGAAUGUGUUCAUGCACAGAUUUUAUCAUCUUGUUACUCAAACGACUGAUGGCUUCUGACCCUGCCUGAAAAUUUCCUAAGAGGUAACAGUUCUAGGACACAGGUGCUGGAGGGAGUGGAGGAAGAAGUUUAAUUACCACAUACAGCUCUUCCAUAUGCAAGGUCUCUGGGGCAAAACUGUCAUUCUGUCUGAAGCCAGACCCUCAAUGUCAGACUAAGAGAGUCGGAUGGAGACUACAUCUUCUGUGUGUGUUGCAAUGGGAGGACUUCUCUCCACCGAGUUUAGUGAGGGCAACACUGUCUCACAUGUCUGAAUGCUGUGCUGCACUGUUGACUGUCACUGUUGGGGAUAUUGGAAGAUCACAAGAAACUCCUGAUCCUGAAUACUGGCCUGAGCCUCUUUUGGAAGAGGCCUUCCAGAACCCUACUCUUGCUAGAACUGAAUGCCAGAGCUGUGUAAUGGGGACAUCCUGUUGUGAACUUAUGUCCUUUCUGGACAAAUGUAUUCAAUUUGAGGCAGCAUGCCCAAUGGUUAGCCACUCAACCUCUGAACCCAAACCCCCAGCUCUACUGCUUAAUAGCUAUAUAACCUUG
rnacentral:lncRNA from 10 species